rnacentral:rRNA from 1 species
UUCCGGUUGAUCCUGCCGGAGGUUACUGCUAUCGAGGUUCGACUAAGCCAUGCGAGUCGAAUGUAGCAAUACAUGGCGUACUGCUCAGUAACACGUGGACAACCUGCCCUUAGGUUGGGUAUAAACCCGGGAAACUGGGUAUAAUCCCCUAUAAGUCUCGGCUGCUGGAAUGCACCGAGAUUAAAAGCUCCGGCGCCUAAGGAUGGGUCUGCGGCCUAUCAGGUAGUAGUGGGUGUAGCGUACCUACUAGCCUACGACGGGUACGGGUUGUGAGAGCAAGAGCCCGGAGAUGGAUUCUGAGACACGAAUCCAGGCCCUACGGGGUGCAGCAGGCGCGAAAACUUUACAAUGCUGGCAACAGCGAUAAGGGAACCUCGAGUGCCAGGUUACAAAUCUGGCUGUCGAGAUGCCUAAAAAGCAUUUCAUAGCAAGGGCCGGGCAAGACCGGUGCCAGCCGCCGCGGUAACACCGGCGGCUCGAGUGGUAACCGUUAUUAUUGGGUCUAAAGGGUCUGUAGCCGGCCGGAUAAGUCUCUUGAGAAAUCUGGCAGCUUAACUGUCAGGCUUUCAGGAGAUACUGUCUGGCUCGAGGCCGGGAGAGGUGAGAGGUACUUCAGGGGUAGGGGUGAAAUCUUGUAAUCCUUGAAGGACCACCAGUGGCGAAGGCGUCUCACCAGAACGGACCUGACGGCAAGGGACGAAAGCUAGGGGCACGAACCGGAUUAGAUACCCGGGUAGUCCUAGCCGUAAGCGAUACUCGCUAGGUGUCGGCCACGGUGCGACCGUUGUCGGUGCCGUAGGGAAGCCGUGAAGCGAGCCACCUGGGAAGUACGGCCGCAAGGCUGAAACUUAAAGGAAUUGGCGGGGGAGC